UGCCAUGAACAGAGGCGCCCAUGCUGACC
rnacentral:piRNA from 1 species